GACGAACGCUGGCGGCGUGCUUAACACAUGCAAGUCGAACGGAAAGGCCCUGCUUUUGUGGGGUGCUCGAGUGGCGAACGGGUGAGUAACACGUGAGUAACCUGCCCUUGACUUUGGGAUAACUUCAGGAAACUGGGGCUAAUACCGGAUAGGAGCUCCUGCUGCAUGGUGGGGGUUGGAAAGUUUCGGCGGUUGGGGAUGGACUCGCGGCUUAUCAGCUUGUUGGUGGGGUAGUGGCUUACCAAGGCUUUGACGGGUAGCCGGCCUGAGAGGGUGAACGGCCACCUUGGGACUGCGAUACGGCCCAGACUCCUACGGGAGGCAGCAGUGGGGAAUAUUGCACAAUGGGCGGAAGCCUGAUGCAGCAACGCCGCGUGCGGGAUGACGGCCUUCGGGUUGUAAACCGCUUUCGCCUGUGACGAAGCGUGAGUGACGGUAGUGGGUAAAGAAGCACCGGCUAACUACGUG
rnacentral:rRNA from 1 species